AAGCUAAAGGUGCACAUGAUGUGGCUCUAGUGUGUAUAUUGGGAAAAUGCUGAGAAGCUAAAUACCUGAGUUUUAGCCUCAGUUCUCUUUAUAGAAGUUGUGUAACUUUAUGUUAGUCCUUCAACUCCCAAAUGCCUCCUAACUCAUAUAAAAGGGGGAAAUCCUUACAGUCUUAUCACCUCAUAGGGUGGCAAUUUGGAUUGAAUGAGAUGUAUGGAAUAACUUUUAAAAAUGGAAAGCACAUUAAACAUUAUUAUGUAGGCACAGCACUGGCCUCAUAAUAAGGUGAAUAAUUUUUCCCCCAUGUCUCAAAUAUUAAAGGUAGCUUACCAUCUUACACCUCAGCAACUCAGAUGUACAAAUUAAAGGUGAAGGGAACAACUUGUAACAGAAAAGCCAUUUCAGUAUCAUGUUUUUCUAAUAGUUUAUAAAACUAUUAGAAUACUCUUCUAAUAGUUUAUAAAAACUAGAUUUAAGAU
rnacentral:lncRNA from 1 species